rnacentral:misc_RNA from 1 species
UCCGGUUUGGCACCGGCAGUCUUCCUAUACUUUCUAGCCCAGGUAAGGUUCUGCGCGUUGCGUCGAAUUGAACCACAUGCUCCACCGCUUGUGCGGGCCCCCGUCAAUUCCUUUGAGUUUUAGCCUUGCGGCCGUACUCCCCAGGCGGGGUGCUUAAUGCGUUAGCUGCGGCACCGCAGGGGUCAAAGCCCGCGACACCUAGCACCCAUCGUUUACGGCGUGGACUAC